rnacentral:rRNA from 1 species
CGGCGGACGGGUGAGUAAUGCCUAGGAAUCUGCCUGGUAGUGGGGGACGAACGUUUCGAAAGGAACGCUAAUACCGCAUACGUCCUACGGGAGAAAGCAGGGACCUUCGGGCCUUGCGCUAUCAGAUGAGCCCAGGUCGGAUUAGCUAGUUGGUGAGGUAAUGGCUCACCAAGGCGACGAUCCGUAACUGGUCUGAGAGGAUGAUCAGUCACACUGGAACUGAGACACGGUCCAGACUCCUACGGGAGGCAGCAGAA